GGAAUACUUCCUACCGGGAGGGAGAUGUGAGCGCGGCUGGGUUGAAGCCAGAGGAUGCUAAGCAGGAGAAGGAAACUGUGUGAACGAAGGUUCAGAAGCAAAAUGUGUUUUGCCAACUUGGACAAUGAAUCAUUGAGCGUAUGAAAGGGAAGGAACAGGUACCUCGAGAGCACAUCAUUCUGCCCUAGAAGACUUGCAAGGGAAGGAGGUUAUUAUGUGCCAGCAGCCCUCUGGGCUCUUCAUUAAGAGGAUCAAAUGGAGUUCCUCUUGUUCAGGCUCUUCUGUCCUUUACAACAGAUGUUCCUCCAGGUGGAAAUUCUCCUUUGCCUGCUGAGUACCCUCAGCUAGUGUAGAAGGUAUUAAUGUUUGAGGCUCAACAGAAGAUUAGCCAAACAUUGGAAUGUUAAGUCUAUUCGUGCCCCCUAGCAAAGGUUUAUUCUAAGUCUACUGUGUGCCUGAAUCAGGACCCAGCCCAUGAGCCCAUGGAAAUUACAGUUUUGCUGGGAAGGACAGAACUUAUGCUUACCCAAUGAUUUAAAAAGAGAAAAAUGGAACCUGAAAUUUAAAACCAGACCAAUAUAUCAUGAAAUAUUUCACUCCUUAUCCUUAAACAUGUUUAUUGUUAUUUCUUGUUGUGGUAAAAUAUACCACAAUAUAACAAAUUUUGCCAACGGAAUUUUUUUUAGUGUACAGUCCAGCAGUGUUUAGUAUAAUCACAUUGUUUUGCAACCCAUCUUCAGAAUUUUUUUUUUUUUUUUUUUUCUUUUUGCCUUUUCUAGGGCCGUUCCCGUGGCAUAUGGAGGUUCCCAGGCUACGGGUCGAAUCGGAGCGGUAGAUGCCAGCCUAUGCCAGAGCCACAGCAACUCGGGAUCCGAGCUGCGUCUGCGACCUACACUACAGCUCACGGCAACGCUGGAUCCUUGACCCAUUGAGAAAGGCCAGGGAUCAAACCCACAACCUCAUGGUUCCUAGUCAGAUUCGUUAAACACUGCGCCACAACAGGAACUCCUCAUCUUCAAAAUUCUUUUCAUUUUGAAAAAUUGAAACAAUUAACAUUAAACAAUUACUUCCCAUUCCCUCCUCCCUUUCCAGCCCCUGGCAACCGUCACUGUCUUUCAGUCUCUGAAUUUGACUACUCGAGGUACUUCAUAUUAGUGAAAUCAUACAGUAUUUGUCUUUUUGUGACUGGCUUAUUUCCAUUAGAAUAAUGCUCUCAGGUUUCACAAACCAUGUUGUAGUUUGUGUUGGAAUUUUCUUUUUUUAAGAUUCUGUAAUAUUCCAUUGUGUGUAUAUAUCACGUUUUGUUUCUC
rnacentral:lncRNA from 1 species